rnacentral:lncRNA from 1 species
ACCAGAUGUGAAGAACCGAUUCUACAAAACUGUCACACGAAGAGGGCGGAAAGCAUGGUUCAUGAAGACAAAAAAGAUAUAUUUUAUUUUGAAGAAAGAAAACAGCAUACAAAACUGGUUAAGCAGAUGAAAUAUAUGUGACAAAAGAGGAACAGCCUUUAUAGAUCAAGGACAUUAUGAGUCACUAAUUUUAUCUUCAUUAGUUUACAACUCUUGACUAUUUCUGAAAGUCAAAUCCAUUAUCAGAAGAAAAUUAAACGUCACGACAGCUGCCUUUUAAUCUUGAACCUACUCAGAUUAGCAUUAUUAAUAUGAUUGCAACUAUUAGUCGUUAGCAUUGGUUCCACACCACUGCAGCAGCUCUGCAGAGCCAGUGCCUGACGUCAAUGAACAGCAACCUUUGCCACUCAAGCCUGGUGCCUGGACCUGAAAUUCAUUAGUGCAGACCCA